rnacentral:RNase_P_RNA from 1 species
GCAGCAGACCGGUCUGUCGCUCGUGCGAAAUAAAACGGGAGGAAAGUCCGGGCAACACAGAGCGCCACGCUUCUUAACGGGAAGCUGUUCGCGAGGGCAGAAUAGCGUAACAGAAAAUAACCGCAAGUAUUCUUUCAUCCUUUCCCUUAUAAAAUAAAGGAUGGGAAUAUUGAAAGAAAAGAAAGUUGUAAGGGUGAAAAGGUGAGGUAAGAGCUUACCGCUUCCGGCGAAAUCCGGAAGGUCAGUACGCUUCGUGGGUUGUAAGGUCAAAUAAACCGACGCAUAUAGAGUUGCUCGCUCAAUGUCGGAGGGUAGACUGCUAUGGAAUUUGUCAGCAAUGGCAAAUCAAGAUAAAUGACAGGCGCAUCAUAGCCCCAUGAAGCAUGAUGAACAGAACCCGGCUUACAGGUAGGCUGCUUUU